UACGGGGGGGGCAAGCGUUGUUCGGAAUUACUGGGCGUAAAGGGCUCGUAGGCGGCCAACUAAGUCAGACGUGAAAUCCCUCGGCUUAACCGGGGAACUGCGUCUGAUACUGGAUGGCUUGAGUUUGGGAGAGGGAUGCGGAAUUCCAGGUGUAGCGGUGAAAUGCGUAGAUAUCUGGAGGAACACCGGUGGCGAAGGCGGCAUCCUGGACCAACACUGACGCUGAGGAGCGAAAGCCAGGGGAGCAAAGCGGGG
rnacentral:rRNA from 1 species